rnacentral:rRNA from 1 species
GACGAACGCUGGCGGCGUGCUUAACACAUGCAAGUCGAACGGAAAGGCCCUGCUUUUGUGGGGUGCUCGAGUGGCGAACGGGUGAGUAACACGUGAGUAACCUGCCCUUGACUUUGGGAUAACUUCAGGAAACUGGGGCUAAUACCGGAUAUGAUCUCCUGCUGCAUGUUGGGGGUUGGAAAGUUUCGGCGGUUGGGGAUGGACUCGCGGCUUAUCAGCUUGUUGGUGGGGUAGUGGCUUACCAAGGCUUUGACGGGUAGCCGGCCUGAGAGGGUGACCGGCCACAUUGGGACUGAGAUACGGCCCAGACUCCUACGGGAGGCAGCAGUGGGGAAUAUUGCACAAUGGGCGGAAGCCUGAUGCAGCAACGCCGCGUGCGGGAUGACGGCCUUCGGGUUGUAAACCGCUUUCGCCUGUGACGAAGCGUGAGUGACGGUAAUGGGUAAAGAAGCACCGGCUAACUACGUG